GCGUUGGCCAACGCUU
rnacentral:misc_RNA from 1 species